GCUUAGGAAAAGACAGGGAGCAUGCUAAAGACCUGCAGCUAUUUGCCUUGUACAAUUUGCUCUUUCUCUUUAUUUCUCUGUUUUCCUGCACUCAUCACUUAGAGGACAAUCUUUCUUGCAAACAAAAUCCGUGGUGCCUGAUUAGAGGGACUGAAGGCUCCCAGACACGGAUUGCCUGUCAGCCACAGCACGGGAAGGUCUUAUAAGCCUUUCUUGGAGACUGCAGCUUUCUGAGCUUCCAGAGGUUGACACUGUUAGAGUGACAAUGAUGACUGAGCAAAACAGCUUCUGAAAUCCCUAAGCAUUCACCCAAGUCAGCCAUAUAGGAUCAACAGG
rnacentral:lncRNA from 12 species